CGAACGCUGGCGGCGUGCUUAACACAUGCAAGUCGAACGCGAAAGGGACUUCGGCCCUGAGUAAAGUGGCGCACGGGUGAGUAACGCGUAGAUAACCUGUCUUCAUGUCUGGAAUAAUACGCCGAAAGGGGUACUAAUACCGGAUAUUCUUGCUUUUCAUAAGUUAUGCAAGCAAAGGUGGCCUCUGCAUAUGCUACUGCAUGAAGAGGGGUCUGCGUACCAUUAGCUAGUAGGUGGGGUAAUGGCCUACCUAGGCGACGAUGGUUAGCGGGUCUGAGAGGAUGAUCCGCCACACUGGCACUGGAACACGGGCCAGACUCCUACGGGAGGCAGCAGUGAGGAAUAUUGCGCAAUGGGGGAAACCCUGACGCAGCGACGCCGCGUGAGUGAAGGAAGGCCUUCGGGUCGUAAAGCUCUGUCAAGAGGAAAGAAGUGUACAAUGGCUAAUACCUGUUGUAUUUGACGGUACCUCUAAAGGAAGCACCGGCUAACUCCGUGCCAGCCGCUGC
rnacentral:rRNA from 1 species